UUUUGAUUGUUUUUCGAUGAUGUUCGUUAAAUCGGUAUAAGCGAACCAUUGUAAACAAUCAAAGAA
rnacentral:pre_miRNA from 1 species